UACGUAGGGGGCGAGCGUUGUCCGGAUUUAUUGGGCGUAAAGAGCUCGAAGGCGGUUUGGCAAGUCGGGUGUGAAAACUCCGGGCUCAACUCGGAGACGCCACUCGAUACUGCCAUGACUCGAGUCCGGUAGGGGAGUGCGGAAUUCCUGGUGUAGCGGUGAAAUGCGCAGAUAUCAGGAGGAACACCGGUGGCGAAGGCGGCACUCUGGGCCGGUACUGACGCUGAGGAGCGAAAGCGUGGGGAGCGAACAGG
rnacentral:rRNA from 1 species